UGGACAGAGUUCAGCAGUGCUUUGCCUUUUUGUCUUGUGCCUCUGCCCAGGUGCUGCUCCAGGCAUCCCCUGCUGGGUGAAGUGACAGAAAUUAAUGUUCCCUUUGUGUUCUAGUUCUGAGUUUGUGGCUGUCCCAGCUGCCUGGGCUGACUCACACACGUGGAAAUGCAGUUUUCAGCGUGGUUGGUGCAUGUGGGUAAAAAGGAGGGGUUCUGUAACUGUCUGCAGAUCAGUCUCCAAAUGGAAUUUUACAGCCUUCUUUGGCAAGAGAAGACAACCACGUGCUGAAACCAGUUCAGGGCAGUGGCUCUGGGAAAAGGUGUGCUUUACCUGAAAGCUUUUUGUUUCUACAAGGAAUUGUAUGAUGGCUGGUGCUUUUUCUGUCUGUACAUGGCCAGAAGUGUCUCAUGCAGAGAAGGACAAAGAGUCUGAAGUAGCACAUGAAGAAAAAAGACAAAAUAGAAAGUGGAGCACAAGAGCAUCAUGUUUAGGUGAGGCUGUGUGUACCAUAGGCUUUGGUCAUUUAAAACCCCUUCCCUCUACUAUUUCCAAGUAGGGAAGAAAAGAACAUU